UUCUCAAUUUUUAGUAGGAAUUAAAAACAAAACUGGUAAAUGCAGACUCUUGGAUUCCACCCCCAGAGAAUCCGUAAACCGGGGUGGAGUCCAAGAAUCUGCAUUUUAGAAAGUACCUAGAGUGAUUCUGAUACAUUGGGAACA
rnacentral:miRNA from 1 species